rnacentral:rRNA from 1 species
GACGAACGCUGGCGGCAUGCCUAACACAUGCAAGUCGAACGAAACCUUCGGGUCUAUUGGCGCACGGGUGCGUAACGCGAGGGAACCUGCCCUUAGGUUCGGAAUAACUCCCAGAAAGGGGUGCUAAUACCGGAUAAUAUCUUCGGACCAAAGAUUUAUCGCCUUUGGAUGGUCCCGCGUUGGAUUAGCUGGUUGUUAGGGUAAAAGCCUAUCAAGGCGACGAUCCCUAGCUGGUCUGAGAGGAUGGUCAGCCACACUGGGACUGAGACACGGCCCAGACUCCUACGGGAUGGAGCAGUGGGGAAUAUAGGACAAUGGGCGAAAGCCUGAUCCAGCAAUGACGCGUGAGUGAUGAAGGCAUGAGGGUUGUAAAGCUCUUUUACCCGUGAUGAUAAUGACAGUACCGGGAGAAUAAGCCCCGGCUAACUCCGUG